rnacentral:rRNA from 1 species
UACGUAGGGGGCAAGCGUUGUCCGGAAUCAUUGGGCGUAAAGAGCGUGUAGGCGGCCCGGUAAGUCCGCUGUAAAAGUCAAAGGCUCAACCUUUGAAAUGUCAGUGGAUACUGCCGGGCUAGAGUCCGGAAGAGGCGAGUGGAAUUCCUGGUGUAGCGGUGAAAUGCGCAGAUAUCAGGAGGAACACCAAUGGCGAAGGCAGCACUGUGGGACGUGACUGACGCUGAGACGCGAAAGCGUGGGGAGCAAA